CCUAAGUUAAGUAAAGGAGAAGAGGGCAUUACCUUUUCUCGCUCGAAAACCCUAUCACCUUCUCCCGAUCCCGACUGUGUGCGGCAUCUGUGCUUGGGCGAAACCAAAGGGGGAGCUAGGGCUUUGUCUCUAUCUCCUCCUCCCGUGCGCCUUCUCCUCUCGAGCGACAGCGAAGAAGAAGCUAGGGUUUUUCUUCUCCGGCGACCGGCCAAGGCUUGUUUCCGAGGAACUUCUGCAGAUUCGUGAGCACCUCGUUGGGGAGGGCAGGUAGAUACGAAGAAGACGCCGAGGCUUGCGGUUUCUUUGAAAACCUAGAAGUUUUCUUUUUCCGGCUGUGAGUCGAAGGGAGAUCGAUAAAGGAAAGGAAAAGCUAUAGCGAAGGAAGGCGACAAAGAGGUGCGGAUGGAUGUGUGAUGUUUGGACUAUGGAAGCCUUGGGAAUUAGCUUAAAAUUCAUUAAGAUUUUGUAUUGAAUAUUUUAUGUUUUGGAGCUUUUCCUUUUAAUCGCUAUGAACAUUAUUUCCAUUGUUUGAGUUGUAUUAUUGUUGCAUGCAUGAUCAGAUUAAUAUAUAUUUUGUUUUUUA